rnacentral:rRNA from 1 species
UACGGAGGGUGCAAGCGUUAUCCGGAUUUACUGGGUUUAAAGGGUGCGCAGGCGGAAAAAUAAGUCAGUGGUGAAAGCCCGGGGCUCAACCCCGGAACUGCCAUUGAUACUGUUUUUCUUGAAUUAGGUCGAGGUUGGCGGAAUGUAAUGUGUAGCGGUGAAAUGCUUAGAUAUGUUACAGAACACCGAUUGCGAAGGCAGCUGGCUAGACCUAUAUUGACGCUCAGGCACGAAAGCGUGGGGAGCGAACAGG